GGGCCAGACUCCUACGGGAGGCAGCAGUGAGGAAUAUUGGUCAAUGGGCGGGAGCCUGAACCAGCCAAGUCGCGUGAGGGAAGACGGUCCUAUGGAUUGUAAACCUCUUUAGGCGGGGAGCAAUGCCGGGCACGCGUGCCCGGAGGGAGAGUACCCGGAGAAAAAGCAUCGGCUAACUCCGUGCCAGCAGCCGCGGUAAUACGGAGGAUGCGAGCGUUAUCCGGAUUUAUUGGGUUUAAAGGGUGCGCAGGCGGCGAGUUAAGUCAGCGGUAAAAUUUCGGGGCUCAACCCCGACAAGCCGUCGAAACUGGCUUGCUAGAGUGGGCGAGAAGUAUGCGGAAUGCGUGGUGUAGCGGUGAAAUGCAUAGAUAUCACGCAGAACUCCGAUUGCGAAGGCAGCAUACCGGAGCCCAACUGACGCUGAAGCACGAAAGCGUGGGUAUCGAACAGGAUUAGAUACCCGUGUAAU
rnacentral:rRNA from 1 species